rnacentral:ribozyme from 1 species
UGCCCGGCAACUCCAAUCCCUACCUCAUCGUGGUAUUGGCCGGGGUACGAGUAACCUUAAGGAGAAUCGG